rnacentral:misc_RNA from 1 species
AUUACAGAGUUGAAGACUCCCAAACCACUGUGAACAUACCCGAAACCGUUGCCUCGGCGGGUGGCCCCAGGGCGGGGCCGCAGCCUCCCCCAGCGGGAGGUGCCCGCCGCAGGUUACAGAACUCUAUGAAUAUCUAGUGGCCCUUCUGAGUAUACUCUUGAGCAAUCAAAACUUUCAACAACGGAUCUCUUGGUUCUGGCAUCGAUGAAGAACGCAGCGAAAUGCGAUAAGUAAUGUGAAUUGCAGAAUUCAGUGAAUCAUCGAAUCUUUGAACGCACAUUGCGCCCGCCAGCAUUCUGGCGGGCAUGCCUGUCCGAGCGUCAUUUCAACCCUCAAGCCCGGCUUGGUGUUGGGGCGCUACGCGCUGAGCGUAGGCUCUGAAAAUUAGUGGCGGGCUCGCUGGAGUUCCGGGCGUAGUAGCGAUAUCUCGCCUGCGGUCCCCAGCGUCCCCCGGCCGUUAAACCCCCCCAAAUAUUACAGAAGGUUGACCUCGGAUCAGGUAGGAUUACCCGCUGAACUUAAGCAUAUCAAUAA